rnacentral:lncRNA from 1 species
GUCCCCAGCUGUCCCCAACCCUGUCCCCGACCCUGUCCCCAACCCUGUCCCUGUCCCCAACCCUGUCCCCAUUGUCACCCUGGGGUUGGGGUGUCCCCAAGGUGUCCCCGAGGUGUCCCCGAGGUGUCCCCGAGGUGUCCCCAAGGCCGCCGUCCCCGAGGCGCCGCCGUCCCCCGGCGAUGGCAGCGAGGCCGAGGGGCCCCGGAAGGGGGAGGAGGAGGAGGGGCCCGGCCACAGAGAGCCCGAGGCCGAAGGAGCCCCGGCCCGCGAGGAGCGGCCAGGUGCCGAGGCCGAGAAGGGGGCGGGGCCAGAGAAAG